AUGGGAAUGGAACCAAGAUGAAGGCACAUGCUUCUACCUAUGAACUCCUUCAAUCCUUACAUUCUCAAGAACGUGGCAUUAGGUCCUCGGUUUACAGUUGUGUCCAUACAUCAGCCGGACGUCUGCUCUCAUUCAAGCCUCCUGACCCAGUCCUAGUCAGCCGCCAGUGCCCAGGGCUGCCCGUUCCGCUCCCAGCUCACCCGGCCAGCAGAUGCCACGAGGACUCUCCGGAAGCC